rnacentral:pre_miRNA from 1 species
CCUGUCGUCAAACUGUUGCUGUGAUGUGCAUUUAGUUAUUGUCAUAUCACAGCCAGCUUUGAUGAGCAGGA